CACUACGGGAUGUUAACAGUUUAGAAGGAACCCGGGGAUCGCCACGUAGAUAGGAAAAAUCGAAGAAGGUUAAUUCCGGGAGGCAGCAGCAGCAGGUAUGUUUUUAGUGCUGAAAUGGACACACUAAUUGUGAACCACGUGGUAAGGAGCUCCUUCUAAAAUAUGCAGUAGCACAUUUACUGGAAUUUAACAGGCUGUGUACUUGAAAGCCUCUCUUGCCUGUAAUCAUGUGAGCAAGCCCUGCAAGCCUCAGUGCCAGCUCAAGAUGCAGCACAGCAGCCCUGGAACAGCAGCCCUGGAACAGCAGCCCUGGAACAGCCCCCACCACUGGGCAAGGGACAGAGAGGAGGUGGUGACCUGCAGCGGGAGGAGAGACCUCGCUUACCACGAUCUGCUCACGGUUUUGCUUCUGGCAACUAACAUUUCCAUUUUCCUCAAAGCUUCUACACCUGUGUCAUCAGACAAAGCCCCACGAGUGGUGGCAGAGCAAGCUGUAGCCUUCAUUUUCAAGUUCGAAGAGAAAAAAUUAUUUACAUGUCAAAAUCCCAGAACUGGCAGUCCAGAGGUCACUCUUUGUUGGCCACUGCUAUGAACCAUUAAGGCUUUCCAAAGCUCUAAAAGAAAUGGGACCCAGUCUGGGGCAGAAAAAUCUCAUUGUUUCAAAUUUGCAUUGUUUCAAAUUCUAUUUCAUUGUAUUAUCUGAUUUUUGUCCUACUAGAGGAACAUGAAAGAUGGGAUGUUUCUAUCAUUGCUUGCAUGAAUGACUACUUGACUGUCAGAGCUUGCAGGACAAAUCUUUGACCCUUCUUAAGCCUGUUUUAAACUGAAAGAAAUGAUCUUUUAAUUGAUUAGGACUUUAGGCUAUUUGUAAAGGAAAAUUAUUGAUUAAUGCAAUGAAUUUUACUGUUUUAUCAGCCUUCCACCUCAGUAUUUAUAUAUAUCUUUGGGUACAAAUUUGGGUAAAUGUUUAACUAUGUGUUUUAAUGUUGCCCUGCCUUUUUUUUUUUUUCCUUUUUUCCUUUCCUGUUUGAGACAGGCUUUUCUAAAUCAAACCCUUGAAUUUAGUGACAAUUAGUACAAUUUCCAGACAUAUCAGCAAGAGUUUCUGUACUAAGUGUGGGAACAUAGAUGUUAAGAGGAAGCACAAGUAAUGAGUUUUUUUUCCCAUUCACAAAGGAAACACUAAGACAUCAAGGUUAUUCAACAGAAAUUAAUAAAUGCAGCCUGGAAAGUUAUUAUUUUUUCAAACUGUGACAGGAUCUCUGAAAUAAUAAAGAUAACAUACAACAAAAA